rnacentral:ncRNA from 2 species
CUCUUAUCAAGAGUUGGCAGAGGGACUUGGCCCAAUGAAGCCGCAGCAACCGACCAUACUACCAUUGCAAAAUGGGGUGAAAUGAGUUCACCUUGGAUUUUAUCCAGUAGGGCACGGUGCUAAUUCCAUCAGAAAGUAUAUCUUUCUGACAGAUGAGAG